rnacentral:rRNA from 1 species
ACUCCUACGGGAGGCAGCAGUAAGGGAUAUUGGGCAAUGGGCGAAAGCCUGACCCAGCAACGCCGCGUGGAGGAUGACGGCCUUCGGGUUGUAAACUCCUUUUGUCGGGGACGAGACAAGGACGGUACCCGGCGAAGAAGUCACGGCUAACUACGUGCCAGCAGCCGCGGUAAU